AGUGAACGCUGGCGGUAGGCCUAACACAUGCAAGUAGAACGGCAGCACAGUAAGAGCUUGCUCUUACGGGUGGCGAGUGGCGGACGGGUGACGAAUACAUCGGAAUCUUCUUUUUCGUGGGGGAUAACGGAGGGAAACUUACGCUAAUACCGCAUACGAUCUACGGGUGAAAGCAGGGGAUCUUCGGACCUUGCGCGACUGAAUGAGCCGAUGUCGGAUUAGCUAGUUGGCGGGGUAAAGGCCCACCAAGGCGACGAUCCGUAGCUGGUCUGAGAGGGUGAUCGGCCACACUGGAACUGAGACACGGUCCAGACUCCUACGGGAGGCAGCAGUGGGGAAUAUUGCGCAAUGGGCGCAAGCCUGAUCCAGCAAUGCCGCGUGGGUGAUGAAGGCCUUCGGAUUGUAAAACCCUUUUGUUAGGAAAGAAAAGCAGCGUGUUUAUACCCGGCUGUUCUGACGGUACCCAAAGAAUAAGCACCGGCUAACUUCGUG
rnacentral:rRNA from 1 species